CUUCGGACUUCCAAAGUGCUGGGAUUACAGGCGUGAGCCACCAUGCCCGGCUUCUUGGAAUCAAGGAUGAAGCAGAGCACAGAAGCUUCUCUUCCCGCCCAGGGAGGAGACACAGGAGGGUCACAGGGCCAGGCGCAGCACAGAGCACGGGGAAAAGGAGCUCCCGAAAGGCUGAAAUGUCAGCCUGUCAACGUUUCCUGUGUGCCUGAGCCCUCUCUCCUUGGUGGGACGCGGGGCCAGCGCGG